rnacentral:rRNA from 2 species
UGGGGAAUAUUGCACAAUGGAGGGAACUCUGAUGCAGCGACGCCGCGUGAACGAAGAAGGCUUUCGAGUCGUAAAGUUCUUUUAUAUGGGAAGAUAAUGACGGUACCAUAAGAAAAAGCCCCGGCUAACUACGUGCCAGCAGCCGCGGUAAUACGUAGGGUGCUAGCGUUGUCCGGAAUCACUGGGCGUAAAGGGUUCGCAGGCGGAAAUGCAAGUCAGGUGUAAAAGGCAGUAGCUUAACUACUGUAAGCAUUUGAAACUGCAUAUCUUGAGAAGAGUAGAGGUAAGUGGAAUUUUUAGUGUAGCGGUGAAAUGCGUAGAUAUUAAAAAGAAUACCGGUGGCGAAGGCGACUUACUGGGCUCAUUCUGACGCUGAGGAACGAAAGCGUGGGUAGCAAACAGG